UUCGCAAUGCCCGAAAGGGUGACGAAGCGACGCCGCGUGUGGGAAGAAGGCCUUCGGGUUGUAAACCACUGUCGGGAGUUAAGAAAUGCAAGAAUGUUAAUAGCGUUUUUGCUUGACUAAGGCUCCGGAGGAAGCCACGGCUAGCUCUGUGCCAGCAGCCGCGGUAAUACAGAGGCGGCAAGCGUUGUUCGGAAUUAUUGGGCGUAAAGAGCACGUAGGCGGCUAUAUAAGUCGGUUGUGAAAGCCUUCCGCUCAACGGGAGAACAGCAUCCGAUACUGUAUGGCUUGAGUGUGGGAGGGGAGAGCGGAACUUCUGGUGGAGCGGUGAAAUGCGUAGAUAUCAGAAGGAACGCCGGCGGCGAAAGCGGCUCUCUGGCCCAUAACUGACGCUGAGUGUGCGAAAGCUAGGGGAGCAAACGGGAUUAGAUACCCCGGUAGUCCUAGCCGUAAACGAUGGGCACUAAGUAGAGGGGUUUU
rnacentral:rRNA from 1 species